GAUGAAGAACGCAGCGAAAUGCGAUAAGUAAUGUGAAUUGCAGAAUUCAGUGAAUCAUCGAAUCUUUGAACGCACAUUGCGACCGCCAGUAUUCUGGCGGGCAUGCCUGUUCGAGCGUCAUUUCAACCAUCAAGCCCCCGGCUUGUGUUGGGGACCUGCGGCUGCCGCAGGCCCUGAAAACCAGUGGCGGGCUCGCUAGUCACUCCGAGCGUAGUAAUACAUCUCGCUCAGGGCGUGCUGCGGGUUCCGGCCGUUAAAAAGCCUUAUUUACCCAAGGUUGACCUCGGAUCAGGUAGGAAGACCCGCUGAACUUAAGCAUAUCAAUAAGCGGAGGA
rnacentral:misc_RNA from 1 species